AUACAUGCAAGUCGAGCGGACAGAAGGGAGCUUGCUCCCGGAUGUUAGCGGCGGACGGGUGAGUAACACGUGGGUAACCUGCCUGUAAGACUGGGAUAACUCCGGGAAACCGGAGCUAAUACCGGAUAGUUCCUUGAACCGCAUGGUUCAAGGAUGAAAGACGGUUUCGGCUGUCACUUACAGAUGGACCCGCGGCGCAUUAGCUAGUUGGUGAGGUAACGGCUCACCAAGGCGACGAUGCGUAGCCGACCUGAGAGGGUGAUCGGCCACACUGGGACUGAGACACGGCCCAGACUCCUACGGGAGGCAGCAGUAGGGAAUCUUCCGCAAUGGACGAAAGUCUGACGGAGCAACGCCGCGUGAGUGAUGAAGGUUUUCGGAUCGUAAAGCUCUGUUGUUAGGGAAGAACAAGUGCAAGAGUAACUGCUUGCACCUUGACGGUACCUAACCAGAAAGCCACGGCUAACUACGUGCCAGCAGCCGCGGUAAUACGUAGGUGGCAAGCGUUGUCCGGAAUUAUUGGGCGUAAAGGGCUCGCAGGCGGUUUCUUAAGUCUGAUGUGAAAGCCCCCGGCUCAACCGGGGAGGGUCAUUGGAAACUGGGAAACUUGAGUGCAGAAGAGGAGAGUGGAAUUCCACGUGUAGCGGUGAAAUGCGUAGAGAUGUGGAGGAACACCAGUGGCGAAGGCGACUCUCUGGUCUGUAACUGACGCUGAGGAGCGAAAGCGUGGGGAGCGAACAGGAUUAGAUAC
rnacentral:rRNA from 1 species